rnacentral:rRNA from 2 species
GAUGGACGCUGGCGGCGUGCCUAAUACAUGCAAGUCGAACGAGUUCUCGUUGAUGAUCGGUGCUUGCACCGAGAUUCAACAUGGAACGAGUGGCGGACGGGUGAGUAACACGUGGGUAACCUGCCCUUAAGUGGGGGAUAACAUUUGGAAACAGAUGCUAAUACCGCAUAGAUCCAAGAACCGCAUGGUUCUUGGCUGAAAGAUGGCGUAAGCUAUCGCUUUUGGAUGGACCCGCGGCGUAUUAGCUAGUUGGUGAGGUAAUGGCUCACCAAGGCGAUGAUACGUAGCCGAACUGAGAGGUUGAUCGGCCACAUUGGGACUGAGACACGGCCCAAACUCCUACGGGAGGCAGCAGUAGGGAAUCUUCCACAAUGGACGCAAGUCUGAUGGAGCAACGCCGCGUGAGUGAAGAAGGCUUUCGGGUCGUAAAACUCUGUUGUUGGAGAAGAAUGGUCGGCAGAGUAACUGUUGUCGGCGUGACGGUAUCCAACCAGAAAGCCACGGCUAACUACGUGCCAGCAGCCGCGGUAAUACGUAGGUGGCAAGCGUUAUCCGGAUUUAUUGGGCGUAAAGCGAGCGCAGGCGGUUUUUUAAGUCUGAUGUGAAAGCCCUCGGCUUAACCGAGGAAGCGCAUCGGAAACUGGGAAACUUGAGUGCAGAAGAGGACAGUGGAACUCCAUGUGUAGCGGUGAAAUGCGUAGAUAUAUGGAAGAACACCAGUGGCGAAGGCGGCUGUCUGGUCUGUAACUGACGCUGAGGCUCGAAAGCAUGGGUAGCGAACAGGAUUAGAUACCCUGGUAGUCCAUGCCGUAAACGAUGAAUGCUAGGUGUUGGAGGGUUUCCGCCCUUCAGUGCCGCAGCUAACGCAUUAAGCAUUCCGCCUGGGGAGUACGACCGCAAGGUUGAAACUCAAAGGAAUUGACGGGGGCCCGCACAAGCGGUGGAGCAUGUGGUUUAAUUCGAAGCAACGCGAAGAACCUUACCAGGUCUUGACAUCUUUUGAUCACCUGAGAGAUCAGGUUUCCCCUUCGGGGGCAAAAUGACAGGUGGUGCAUGGUUGUCGUCAGCUCGUGUCGUGAGAUGUUGGGUUAAGUCCCGCAACGAGCGCAACCCUUAUGACUAGUUGCCAGCAUUUAGUUGGGCACUCUAGUAAGACUGCCGGUGACAAACCGGAGGAAGGUGGGGAUGACGUCAAAUCAUCAUGCCCCUUAUGACCUGGGCUACACACGUGCUACAAUGGAUGGUACAACGAGUUGCGAGACCGCGAGGUCAAGCUAAUCUCUUAAAGCCAUUCUCAGUUCGGACUGUAGGCUGCAACUCGCCUACACGAAGUCGGAAUCGCUAGUAAUCGCGGAUCAGCACGCCGCGGUGAAUACGUUCCCGGGCCUUGUACACACCGCCCGUCACACCAUGAGAGUUUGUAACACCCGAAGCCGGUGGCGUAACCCUUUUAGGGAGCGAGCCGUCUAAGGUGGGACAAAUGAUUAGGGUGA